rnacentral:rRNA from 1 species
GGAGGUAGUGACAAUAAAUCACAAUGCGGAACAAUGUUUUGCAAUUGGAUUGAGAACAACGUACAAACCUUAUCGAUAAACAAUUGGAGGGCAAGUCUGGUGCCAGCAGCCGCGGUAAUUCCAGCUCCAAUAGCGUAUAUUAACGUUGUUGCAGUUAAAAAGCUCGUAGUUGAAAUGAAGGGUAGUUGUGUAAUGAAUACAUUCGUGUAUUUUGUUAUUCAAGUACCCUCCUUCUAAAUUCGAUAUAUGAGUAUUAAUUUAAUUUACUUGUAUAUGGUUUUAGACGUUUACUGUGAGAAAAUUAGAGUGUUCAAAGCAGGCAUUUGCUUGAAUAUAUUAGCAUGGAAUAAUCAUGUAUGAUUUUCAUGAUGUAUUUGAUUGGUUUGGUUCAUGAGAAUAAGAUUAAAAGGGACAGUUGGGGGUAUUCAUAUUCAAUAGUCAGAGGUGAAAUUCUCGGAUUUAUGGAAGAUGAACA